AGAAGCUGCACAGAUACAGGAAUCUUUGCUGAUUUUCUUCAUGGAUGUACACUAAGCACUUACUACUUUGCUGAACAUACUGAGGAUGUGCAUGAGGAUAUGUUAUGUGCACUUUUGUUGCCAACCAACACCACAGCUGCAGAACUAUUCAAGUCUUUGAAUGAUUACAUAUCAGGAAAACUGAAUCAGUCAUUUUGUGUCGGUAUAUGCACGGACGGAGCAGCUGCCAUGACUGGACUACUUUCUGGUUUCACUACUCAGGUCAAAGAGGUCGCUUCUGAAUGUGAAGUAUUUUACGUACUGUGUCAUCCAUAGAGAAAUGCUGGCUAGCCGAAAAAUGUCACCUGAACAUAACAACAUUUUGCAGGAUGUAAUUAAAAUUAUCAACCACAUUAAAGUACAUGCCCUUAACUCAGGUCUGUUCACACAGCUCUGUGAGGAGAUGAACACAAAGCACACACAUCUUCCUGUAUACACAGAAGUGAGAUGGCUUCCUAAAGGUAGAUCACUGGCCAGAGUUUUUGAGUUACGAGAGCUGCUCCAGAGAUUUCUUUUAAAAGAACAGUCACCACUGGCAGCACAUUUCAGUGACAGAAUGGGUCGCAAAACUUGCUUACUUGUGUGACAUAUUCAACCUGCUUAAUGAACUCAAUGUUCAAGUUGACAGAUAAAGUGGCUGCAUUCAAAGCCAAACUGAAAUUAUGGGGGCGACGAGUGAACAUUGGGAUUUUUAACAUGUUUCAAACAUUAGCAGAGAUUUUGAAAGAAACUGAGCCAGGGCCUUCUUUCUCCCAGCUGGUGCAUGACCACCUAUCUCAGCUUUCAAAAGAGUUUGAGCAUUACUUCCCAACCACAAAAGACCCCCAAACUGGGAAGGAAUGGAUCGAUGACCCAUUUGUGAAUAAGCCAAGUGAAUUGACUUUGUUCGUGCUAGAAUCAACGGCUUGAGAUAGCAAAUGACGGUGGCCUUAAAAGUAUGUUUGAGACAACUUCAAAUCUCCAACUUUAAUCUCUGGAUUAAAGUCAAGAUGGAAUAUCCUGAGAUUGCCACAAAAGCACUGAAAAGCCUUCUUCCAUUUCCAACAUCCUAUCUUUGUGAAGCAGGGUUUUCUGCAGUCACAGCAACCAAAAUGAGAUCAUGGAGUAGACUGUACAUAGCAGCACACUUCGGGUGUCUCUGUCCCCAUCACCCCCAGAUGGGACCAUCUAGUUGCAGGAAAACAAGCUCAGGGCUCCCACUGAUUCUGCAUUAUGGACAUCUCAAUCUGAACCAGCCACCUUUCAAUGCUUAAUAGUGCCAUGUGGCUAGUGCCUGCCC